UGGGGAGAGGAUGUACUUUAACGUAUGCCCUUAUACAGAAUAACGUUCUACCGGUUCCCUGCUCCCCAGUGGUAGAGUCCUAACCUCUUCCAUCGAGGCGGUACGGUCACAUUCUACCUCCGCACACGGCGGAGGGCGUCGGAUACCUACCAGUGCGCCUGUGCAAGAUGGCUCCGAGUCCGGGUGCGCACGCGCGCGCUCGGUACUGACUGACGCCUUAUUGCCUGCUCUUUCACAAUGAAAGCCAUGGAGGAUCAAGUAGUGCAAGAAGAAGUAGGGUAUCAGGAUGACGAGGAAUCCUUGUUUCAGGAUAUUGACCUGUUGCAGAAACAUGGAAUUAAUGUGGCUGAUAUUAAAAAGCUGAAGUCUGUGGGAAUCUGUACUGUCAAAGGGAUCCAGAUGACAACGAGGCGGGCAUUGUGCAAUGUGAAAGGGCUUUCAGAGGCCAAAGUGGACAAGAUCAAAGAAGCAGCCAACAAACUAAUUGAACCAGGAUUCUUGACUGCCUUUGAGUACAGUGAGAAGCGGAAGAUGGUGUUCCAUAUCACCACUGGGAGCCAGGAAUUUGAUAAACUAUUGGGUGGUGGGAUUGAAAGCAUGGCAAUCACAGAGGCCUUUGGAGAAUUCCGAACAGGCAAAACCCAGCUUGCCCACACCCUUUGUGUGACAGCUCAGCUUCCAGGAGCAGAUCGCUACACAGGAGGAAAAAUUAUCUUCAUUGAUACUGAAAACACUUUCCGUCCAGAUCGUCUUCGUGACAUUGCUGAUCGCUUCAACGUAGACCAUGAUGCAGUGCUUGACAAUGUGCUGUAUGCACGUGCAUAUACCAGUAAGAUCAUCAUUGGAAUGGGCACAACACCCUUUCCCCCCACCUCUAAAACUACUGUUCCAGCAGUUCUCAACUUAUUGGCUAAGACCUUCUCCUGGGGAUCACUAACAUUUUUCUGUGUGUGGGGAGUCACAAGCCUGCUUCAGUUUUCUGUUGUGGUCCUCUGCUGCCUUAGAUUUGCUCAGGAUAAGUGGUCCUACUUAGUUACAUUCUGUAAACUAUUUAGCAAAUUCCAGAAAUACUAAGGGCUUGUCUAACACCAAGGUUUAAACCAGACUAAAUAGAGUUAAUCCAUUUUCAAAAUGCUUGCAUACACAUAGCGUAAUUUAUUAUAGCACAUUAACUCUGCGUUUAUCUCAGACUCUGGAGUCCUCUUUCAAAGUGAACUAAGUUUGAUGCAGUUGAGUUAGUUCAGUCUAUUGUCCGUAUGCACACAAUGCUGCUGCAUGCUACUUUGGCAGUCCUCCAGCUACUGUCCCACACUGUUUUGUGGGCGACUGUUACUGACCUGUCUGUUUACCUGUGCAGCUGUGAUGCUUUCUGGGGAUACCCAGGGUUGUGAGGAAUCUCACUACCACCUGCCCUUAACAUGACGAAACCUUGUCUGUGUCUGCAGGGAGUCAGCUCCCCAACUCCACUGGCCAGGGGUAACACAAGCACUCCCCACUAGGCCUUGCAGACCCUGCUGUCUCUCCACUGGUUAACAAUAGGCAAACUCCAACCCUCAACUCUUCCGAGUGUCUCCCUGGAGUGUCCAGUCCCUGGUCCAGUGGACACUUGCAGGAUUCACAGAUCGCCUGCUUCCUAAAAAUCAGUAAACCCCAGUUUACCAAUUCCACCUUAGAUCACUUCUCUGCUUAACAAACAGCACUAAGAUAUGCUUAUAGUGAAAACAGUAUGGCUGUUCUUAUGUUCUUAGGUAUAAGUUUAUUUAACAAAGCAUAGAGAUUCAAGUAAUAGUAUAUAGAAGUUCUGGAAACAAAUGGGUACAUAUAAAAUGAAAUCUUAAUAUGCAUUCUAGAACCUAGAUUUAAUUAACUAGAUACUCUGAUGUCUUAAGCAUAAUGCUCACCCAAUGUCCUUGCAGCAUUUUAUAGCCAGGCUUGGCAAUGAACUUCCUUUCAUGAGACAGACAUGCUUGUGAGCUUGUCUCCUAGUUGGCCCAUUGUGUUCCAUUGCCUCCUAGGAUAUAAAAGUUCCAUCCUUUGUCUUCAUUCAUAUACAGGACACCCCCUGCUGUUUUGGUUCUUCUUGUAGAUUUUGUCUCUUGUAGAUUUCACACCCUUUCAAUUGGCACCUGGCUCAGUAUGCAAAUAGACCUCCAUUGUGAUGCAGACACUACACAGUACACAUAUGACCAGAGAGCAAGAUAAGCAUCUGUUACUUCCUGCCUCAAAGGAGUACAUCUGAGCAUGUCACAUCUUGGUGACUGGCCUUAACUCUCUAGUACAUUAAGAACGUAACUUUCAAUAUAGAUACAUAAUUUCUUAAAUAUUAUCCAUACAUACAUUGUGCAGUAAUGAUGAUGACCAGUGAUUAUGGUGGCUCUUGGUAUUGACUUUGUAUGCUACCCUUUGGUGUAGUAUUAUGAAUAUAUCUGACAGAGGGGAUACCUGCAAAACCCCAUGCACUCCCUGUGCCCUCUGCCAGUUGACACCAUGAGGUUCCUGAGUCACAGAGCCCUCCACUGUUCUGCUGUUGAUCAGACAUCCCCAUAUAAAAAUUGGCCAGAAUUUGCUCAUUUAGUCCUGGAUUUGAGUAUAUCAGCCAUGCUGUGAUAUUACUCUAGAAGCCUUAUAGUAUGCCUUGAGCAGCCUCUUGGAGCUAUGCAGAGACUCUAGAUCUCAUCGCCCCCUGCAGAGAAACAUUGAUGCAGGAAGCUCUUGUGGCUAGUCACCAGAAUAAAAAUCUUUCUGUAGACAUGGAUAAGUACAUCUCCAUGAAGGGCCACAGCUGGGAUACCUAACAGUGCAGGAUAAAGAACAAACAACUCAGGAGAAUGUACAUUAAAACCAAGGAUGCUAGGAAAAGGUCCAGCAAUCGACAGGUGUCAUGUCCUUUUUAUGAGGAGCUGGACAGGAUUUUGAUCAAUUAUACCACUGCAGAAACCAAGAAGUUUGCUGCUCCACCUCCCUCCAGGACAAGCACCAAGAGUCAUUGGAGGAUGAACACGAGGAGGCCAGUGAAGAACUGUUUCCAGAAAGCCAGGAGCUUUUCGGGACUGAAGACCCUGAGGAUGGCUGGGUAGAAAGCAAGCCUGAUCCCUGCCAUGCAGGAAUGAGCCAAUUCCCAGCCAGAAACCCAAAAUGGUACUGAAGAGGUAGAUCCGAUCCAGGGAACAAGAGCAUGAUUACCUGUGCAGGCGCCAUAGCCAUGGAGCCCGAUCAGAUCUCCGCUGCAGUUUUGACCAUUGUAAAUACCUCGCGCAUUAUCCAGCAGUAUGUGCAGUACCUGCAAAACCAAACAAGGAAGCAAUGACAGCACAAUUACGAUAGUGAUGAGGACAUGGACACAGACAUUCCUAGAAGCACGGCAUGUGGCGAUUAGGAGAUCAUGGUGGUGUUGGGCCAGGUUCAUGCCAUGGAAUGCCGAUUCUGGGCCCGGGAAACAAGCACAGACUGGUGGGACUGCAAAGUGUUGCAAGUAUGGGAUGAUUCCCAGUGGCUAAGAAACUUUCAUAUGCACAGGGCCACUUUCAUGGAACUUUGUGACUUGCUAUCCCCUGCCCUGAAGCGCAAAGACAUCAAAAUGAGAGCAGCCCUCACAGCUGAGAAGUGAGUGGCCAUAGCCCUGUGGAAGCUUGCAACACCAGACAGCUACUGGUGAGUUGGGAAUCAGUUUGGAGCGGGCAAAUCUACUGUGGGGGCUGCUGUGCUGCAAAUAGCCAACGCAAUCAUUGACCAGCUGCUAUCAAGGGUAGUGACUUUGGGAAAUGUGCAGACCAUUGUGGAUGGCUUUAAUGCGCUGGGGUUCCCUAACUGCGGCGGGGCGAUAGACGGAACGUAUAUCCCUAUCUUGGCCCCAGAACACUGGGGCGGCCAGUACAUAAACCGCAAGGGGUACUUUUCCAUGGUGCUGCAAGCACUGGUGAAUCACAAGGGACGUUUCACCGACAUCAACGUGGGAUGGCCGGGAAAGGUGCAUGACGCUCGCAUCUUCAGGAAUUCUGGUCUGUUUGAACAGCUGCAGGAAGGAACUUACUUCCCAGACCAGAAAAUUACUAUUGGAGAUGUUGAAAUGCCUAUAGUUAUCCUCGGAGACCCAGCCUACCCCUUAAUGCCAUUGCUCAUGAAGCUGUACACAGGCACCCUGGACAGUAGUAAGGAGCAGUUCAACUAUAGGCUGAGCAAGUGCAAAAUGGUGGUAGAAUGUGCUUUUGGAUAUUUGAAAGUGCGCUGGCGCAGUUUACUGACUUGGUUAGUUCUCAGCACAACCAAUAUUCCAAUUGUAAUUGGUGCUUGUUGUGUGCUCCACAAUAUCUGUGAGAGUAAGGGGGAGACAUUUAUGGCGGGGUGGGAGGUUGAGACAACUCGCCUGGUGGCCAGUUUCGCACAGCCAGGGCGAUUAGAAGAGCGCAGCAGGGUGCACUGCAUAUCAGAGAAGCUUUGAAAACCAGUUUCAUGACUGGCAUGGAUACGAUGUGACAGUUGUGUUUGUUUCUCUUAAAGUUACCCAUCCACUACAUAAAUGAAAGGAAAUAAAGUCACAAUUGUUU